CUACGGGGUGCACCAGUGAGGAAUAUUGCACAAUGGGGGGAACCCUGAUGCAGCAACGCCGCGUGGAGGAUGACGCAUUUCGGUGUGUAAACUCCUUUUAUAUGUCAAGAAAAUGACGGUAGCAUAUGAAUAAGCACCGGCUAACUCCGUGCCAGCAGCCGCGGUAAUACGGAGGGUGCAAGCGUUACUCGGAAUCACUGGGCGUAAAGGACGCGUAGGCGGGUUGGAAAGUCAGGUGUGAAAUCCUAUAGCUUAACUGUAGAACUGCACUUGAAACUUCUAAUCUAGAGUAUGGGAGGGGGAGAUGGAAUUAGUGGUGUAGGGGUAAAAUCCGUAGAUAUCACUAGGAAUACCUAAAGCGAAGGCGAUCUCCUGGAACAUUACUGACGCUAAGGCGUGAAAGCGUGGGGAGCAAACAGGAUUGGAUACCCGAGUAGUC
rnacentral:rRNA from 1 species